UACGUAGGAUGCAAGCGUUGUCCGGAAAUUAUUGGGCGUAAAGAGCGAGCAGGCGGUUUGGAAAGUUGGACGUGAAAUUUUAGGGCUUAACCCUAAAGGGUCGUCCAAAACUCCCAGACUAGAGUGCAGGAGAGGAAAGCGGAAUUCCGGUGUAGUGGUGAAAUGCGUAGAUAUCGGGAGGAACACCAGAGGCGAAGGCGGCUUUCUGGCCUGGUAA
rnacentral:rRNA from 1 species